rnacentral:ncRNA from 10 species
CUGUUACCCGGGAAUGAGGUCUCCCAUGGUAGUGUAAUAUUUACCAGAACCGCUUAUGACAGCUGAUGGCUUCUGCAUUGUG